AUGACCAGACAUGGAACUGACUUCCACAAAAAGGAUUCUGGCCCAUGUAGCUUGAUAAAUUUGGAAGCAGCCCUUUAUCUAAAGACAAUUUUAUGUGAAUUACGAAAGUAUGCCCUGCCAGACAAGAACUUGCCCGAAGAUGAACAACACUGUUCCAAGGAAACUGGGAGUGUUCCACCCUGUUCACUUCAGCACAACUGAUGGCCUAAGAAACACUAUCUGUUAACUAUUGGAGGUAAAGUCAUCCCAUAAUGACAUUCAGCUGAGCAGCUAUUAACUAAGAAACACCACCAAGAAUCCAAAGGCCUAAUGACAAGCCAGGUUUGGCACAGUACACCACAUGAAACAAAAUAACCACUGUGAGGAUUUCCAUGGAAAAAUGUUAAUCAUCUCCCAAAACAGGGAAAAUGUGUGACAUAAAGAACAGGAAGUAAUGGCAAACAUAUGUCAGGCAGCAUUCUUUAUUUACCUUUCAUUGCAGUGCCUUCAGAUGAGAAGGUUGAACUCUCACCGAGAAGGGAGUAAAUUUUAAACUCAUGUUAACUGAUCCAGACAGUCAUAAAUGGAGAUGUGCUUCCUCGCCUCUUAUUGAUAUUAAUUGGUUUAUUGAACCAGCUGUGGAAAUUG
rnacentral:lncRNA from 1 species